GGGGUUGUGGCUCAGUGGUAGAGCAUUUGCCUAACAAGCAUGAUGCACUGGGUUUGAUCCCCAGGACCACA
rfam:Ictidomys tridecemlineatus contig002259, whole genome shotgun sequence.